rnacentral:lncRNA from 1 species
AACCAUUUAUCUUGGGUUUCCACGAUCAUCGUCUGCUCUUUCCCAGGUACCGGAUGAAAGUCAAUAUGAGUCCAGGGAGAUAUAUACCAAGGCAUUUCGAUACUAACUUCACUCCAAUCUUCUCUUUCACUUCGAUCGUGAAAUUUCCAUAGCUUCUGUGUUGGUGAUGCUCCUGAGUAGAUGCGCACCACCGUUAUACACCCAUCCAGUUCAAUUAACCCGCAGUGGGCGAGCGGUAGACUCCUGGAAAGUGUAAAUUCGGGGAUUUCGAUC